CUGUGGAGGAGCAGUUUUGUACUUCUGGAUGUAUAUGUAGAAGAGUAUGGAACACAGUAUAAAAUCUGCAACUAGAAGAUUUAAAGCCCUAUUUGAAGAGCUUUGGAAAUUAGCUACAGAAAAAGAAAGGUGCCUCUUUGGAGCCCAGUCCACAGUGUAAGAAGUCUGCAACAUUGUAGCUGAAAGCCCAGCUGUGCUUGAGAGAGAAGGCCACUACUGUACUGAAAAGGCUAAGAGGAUACUAUACUGAAGCAGUCUCAGGCGUGUUGGGUAACUGGAAACCUCCAAGAAGAGACUAGUUUCAAGAAGCCAUGCAAGGAAUUGUGACUUCAACCAGUGAAGACUUGAAUAU